AUUGAACGCUGGCGGCAUGCUUUACACAUGCAAGUCGAACGGGGUGAAGGGGCAACUCUUCAUUCAGUGGCGAACGGGUGAGUAAUACAUCGGAACGUACCCCGUAGUGGGGGAUAACUCGGCGAAAGCCGUGCUAAUACCGCAUAUGCUCUACGGAGGAAAGCAGGGGACCGCAAGGCCUUGUGCUAUGGGAGCGGCCGAUGUCCGAUUAGCUAGUUGGUGAGGAAUGGCUCACCAAGGCGACGAUCGGUAGCUGGUCUGAGAGGAUGAUCAGCCACACUGGGACUGAGACACGGCCCAGACUCCUACGGGAGGCAGCAGUGGGAAUUUUGGACAAUGGGGCAACCCUGAUCCAGCCAUGCCGCGUGCGGGAAGAAGGCCU
rnacentral:rRNA from 1 species